UCAGGAAUAGCACAACACUUUAGUGCAGGUUUACUGUAUAUGACAUCCAAACAACCUGAAGUGAAAGGACUGGUGGACCAGACAGAGAACUACACCACCUUCAACCUGCUUCGGCUCAAUACCAAUAGAGUGAUGCUACUGAAUUAGUAACAGACCAGAACAGUGUGAACCAAGACUGGUAUAAAAAACAUAACAGCUUAUAAAUUAUAAUAAAUAAAUAAAUAAAUAAAAUAAUAGCAAAAUGUACUGG